AUUGAACGCUGGCGGCAGGCCUAACACAUGCAAGUCGAACGAGUGGCGGACGGGUGAGUAAUGUCUGGGAAACUGCCUGAUGGAGGGGGAUAACUACUGGAAACGGUAGCUAAUACCGCAUACCAUCAGAUGUGCCCAGAUGGGAAGAGCUAGUUGGUGGGGUAACGGCUCACCAAGGCGACGAUCCCUAGCUGGUCUGAGAGUAUGACCAGCAACUCUGGAAUUGGGACACGGUCCAGACGCCUACGGGAGGCAGCAGUGGGGAAUAUUGCACAAUGGGCGCAAUCCUGAUGCAGUCAUGCCGCGUGUAUGAAGAAGGCCUUCGGGUUUUAAAGUACUUUCAGCGGGGAGGCGUUACCCGCAGAAGAAGCACCGGCUAACGCCGUGCCAGCAGCCGCGGUAAUUC
rnacentral:rRNA from 1 species